rnacentral:pre_miRNA from 1 species
AGUAGAGUUGCUGGGUCACAUGGUAACUAUUUUACUUUUUGAAAAAAUGCCAACUGGUUUCCAAAGUGACUGUACCAUUUUACAUUCCCAUCAGCAAC